rnacentral:rRNA from 1 species
GAUGAACGCUGGCGGCGUGCUUAACACAUGCAAGUCGAACGGAAAGGCUCCUGCUUGCAGGGGUACUCGAGUGGCGAACGGGUGAGUAACACGUGGGUGAUCUGCCCUGCACUUCGGGAUAAGCCUGGGAGACUGGGUCUAAUACCGGAUAGGACGAUGGUUUGGAUGCCAUUGUGGAAAGUUUUUUCGGUGUGGGAUGAGCUCGCGGCCUAUCAGCUUGUUGGUGGGGUAAUGGCCUACCAAGGCGUCGACGGGUAGCCGGCCUGAGAGGGUGUACGGCCACAUUGGGACUGAGAUACGGCCCAGACUCCUACGGGAGGCAGCAGUGGGGAAUAUUGCACAAUGGGCGCAAGCCUGAUGCAGCGACGCCGCGUGGGGGAUGACGGCCUUCGGGUUGUAAACUCCUUUCGCUAGGGACGAAGCGCAAGUGACGGUACCUGGAGAAGAAGCACCGGCUAACUACGUG